GAUGAACGCUAGCGAUAGGCCUAACACAUGCAAGUCGAGGGGCAUCACAUGAAGUAGCAAUACGGAUGGUGGCGACCGGCGCACGGGUGAGUAACACGUAUGCAACCUGCCUUCAACAAGGGGAUAACCCGUUGAAAGACGGACUAAUACCCUAUAACACAGGGGUCCCGCAUGGGAAUAUUUGUUAAAGGACAACCGGUUGAAGAUGGGCAUGCGUUCCAUUAGCUAGUUGGCGGGGUAACGGCCCACCAAGGCAACGAUGGAUAGGGGAACUGAGAGGUUUAUCCCCCACACUGGUACUGAGACACGGACCAGACUCCUACGGGAGGCAGCAGUGAGGAAUAUUGGUCAAUGGACGCAAGUCUGAACCAGCCACGUCGCGUGAAGGAAGACGGCCCUACGGGUUGUAAACUUCUUUUAUACGGGAAUAAAGUGCCCCACGCGUGGGGUUUUGCAUGUACCGUAUGAAUAAGGAUCGGCUAACU
rnacentral:rRNA from 1 species